ACUCCUACGGGAGGCAGCAGUGGGGAAUAUUGCACAAUGGGGAAACCCUGAUGCAGCCAUGCCGCGUGUGUGAAGAAGGCCUUCGGUUGUAAAGCACUUCAGUAGGGAGGAAGGUAGUGUAGUUAACACCUGCACUAUUUGACGUUACCUACCAGAAGAAGCACCGGCUAACUCCGUGCCAGCAGCCGCGGUAAUACGGAGGGUGCGAGCGUUAAUCGGAAUUACUGGGCGUAAAGCGCAUGCAGGCGGCCUGUUAAGUCAGAUGUGAAAGCCCGGGGGCUUAACCUCGGAAUUGCAUUUGAAACUGGCAGGCUAGAGUCUUGUAGAGGGGGUAGAAUUUCAGGUGUAGCGGUGAAAUGCGUAGAGAUCUGAAGGAAUACCAGUGGCGAAGGCGGCCCCCUGGACAAAGACUGACGCUCAGAUGCGAAAGCUGGGGAGCGAAACAGGAUUAGAUACCCUGGUAGCACAGAGC
rnacentral:rRNA from 1 species